GCCGGGCGCGGUGGCUCAAGCCUGUAAUCCCAGCACUUUGGGAGGCCGAGACGGGCGGAUCACGAGGUCAGGAGAUCAAUACCAUCCUGGCUAACACGGUGAAACCCCGUUUCUACUAAAAAAUACAAAAAACUAGCUGGGCGAGGUGGCGGCGCAUGUAGUCCCAGCUACCCGGGAGGCUGAGGCANNNNNNNNNNUGCCUCAGCCUCCCGGGUAGCUGGGACUACAUGCGCCGCCACCUCGCCCAGCUAGUUUUUUGUAUUUUUUAGUAGAAACGGGGUUUCACCGUGUUAGCCAGGAUGGUAUUGAUCUCCUGACCUCGUGAUCCGCCCGUCUCGG
rnacentral:SRP_RNA from 1 species